AGCAUGGCGAGAAUGAAGCUUCUUGCUUUGCUUCUGUUUGCCGCUUCCUUAACUAUGCUGGAAGCCACACUUCGGUUCAGGGCUGGAUGGCCUCUCAUAUUUUUGGUGAAUUAGGUCUGCAAGCUGGUUAUUUAAGCAGGAGCAGCAAUUUCGUUUUAACAUAUUGGGAGGUGGCGGGGAUUCUUCUCGAAUAAGCCCCGGGUACAUCGAGGACGUAAACAUGGCGGAUUCCCAAGGUUUUUGACGACGCCAGAGCCAAUAUGGAUAUACAACACCACCGGACAUCCUGAACGGCAGUGUGAAGUGCAACAAGUGCAACAUAUGAACAAAACUUCAGUUCACUUGAUCCGAUCAUAUUACGAACACAGUAAAAAGAUAUCCGGCGACCUACAAGGAACCUUUGAUCUGAAGCACGUGGCACACAUGUUUAUUCAACUUCCAGAUGUCCCGUACAAUCAGACGGAAGAUAUAUUGUAUAUGAGUAGAAGGCGAAGAUGUGCAGUGAUUAAGAUAAGGUCCACGCUUCAAGGCAGUCCCGCUACCUAUGACCUCCGAGUACGGAACUCCUCCAUUACCCGGGGUCCCAGCCGAGGCUGCAAGAGAAAAUUUAGGAAAUACGCACGUGGGUCACAUGGUACUUACCAAACAAAGUGCCAGGAGAUACUACGGAACAUAACGCAACUACUAUCUACUGUUGCAGCUAAUGCGAAUCAGCAAAGCCAGCGUGCUCGCUAGACUUUGCUCCAGCUUUGCGGAGCUGUCUACACUAAUAGCGUUUGAGGUUUUUUUUUUCAAGUUAUGUUAGCCCCGCGCCCCAAGUUUUCAGUUUCAUUAAAAUUAAGUCGAUGACAUCAA